UUUAAUUCGAUGCAACGCGAAGAACCUUACCUACUCUUGACAUCCACGGAAUUGUGCAGAGAUGCGCAAGUGCCUUCGGGAACCGUGAGACAGGUGCUGCAUGGCUGUCGUCAGUUCGUGUUGUGAAAUGUUGGGUUAAGUCCCGCAACGAGCGCAACCCUUGUCCUUUGUUGCCAGCGCGUAGAGGCGGGAACUCAAAGGAGACUGCCGGUGAUAAACCGGAGGAAGGUGGGGACGACGUCAAGUCAUCAUGGCCCUUACGAGUAGGGCUACACACGUGCUACAAUGGCGUAUACAAAGGGAUGCGAACCUGCGAGGGAAAGCGGAACUCAGAAAGUACGUCGUAGUCCGGAUUGGAGUCUGCAACUCGACUCCAUGAAGUCGGAAUCGCUAGUAAUCGUAGAUCAGAAUGCUA
rnacentral:rRNA from 1 species